CUUUUACUUUGCUUUUUAGAUUCUUUGUGAAAUAAGAUAGGAUAUAGAAUAAAUGUCUAAACUUAUAAUGCCCUGCAAGGCUGAGGCAUCUCUGCUGGCUGUAGCUUCAGUUGUCCAGUUACAGCCUUCUUGCCCAUUUAACUCUUACCUUUGCUUCAGAUCCUGUUCUUAACUCUGAGUUGCUCUGCUCAUUCCCAAGCUUACCUUUGUUGGAGAUGCUUUUUCCAAUUAAUACAUUUAUGGAGCACUUACUGUGUGUCAGAUUCAGGCACAAGGGAUGCUGUUUUUCUUUUCUAUGCUAACUCUGCCUUCUUGCAUCCCAACCUCAGCUGGAUUUCUGGAGCUCCUUGAGAUCCAUUUACCCUAUGCCUAGGAAUGGGCAGGCCAGCAGUUGCAGAGAUACUGGAGUCUAUUGAGACCAUAUCUACGGGGAGGAGCCGAGGCUCAGGUAAUCUGAAGCAAGUUAACAGGUUUCAAGUCAGGGUCAGAGACUUAAGAAAUCAGAUGUGGGUGUUAAGAUCAGACAAAAGCAAAUUAUAGGGAACAGGAGAAAAUUAAACGAGCAGUUGUCAUAAACGCCAGUUUGUCUUUGAAUCAUGUCUUUCUAGGUGGUUGGCUUGGUUCAAAUUUUGUUAUUUAUUAUCCUGCUAUGAAUUGUGGUUUCAUAAAUAUUUUAUUUAUAGUAGUAGUAUUUUUUAGAUGUUUAGAUGUGGAAACAUAAUAACGUUAUAUUUUCUGCUGGUA
rnacentral:lncRNA from 10 species